rnacentral:rRNA from 1 species
UGGAAUAGGAUCUCGGUUCUAUUCAGUUGGUUUUCUGAUCUGAGAUAAUGGUUAAGAGGGACAGACGGGGGCAUUCGUAUCGCUUCGUGAGAGGUGAAAUUCUUGGACCGUAGCGAGACGCCCGACUGCGAAAGCAUUUGCCAAGAAUGUCUUCAUUAAUCAAGAACGAAAGUCAGAGGUUCGAAGGCGAUCAGAUACCGCCCUAGUUCUGACCGUAAACGAUACCAACUAGCGUUCCGUCAUCGGUAAAUAUGCCUUGACGGGCAGCUUCCCGGAAACGAAAGUGUUUCGGUUCCGGGGGAAGUAUGGUUGCAAAGCUGAAACUUAAAGAGAUUGACGGAAGGGCACCACUAGGAGUGGAGCCUGCGGCUUAAUUCGACUCAACACGGGAAAACUCACCUGGCCCGGACACCGUGAGGAUUGACAGAUUGAGAGCUCUUUCUUGAUUCGGUGGUUGGUGGCGCAUGGCCGUUCGUGGUUCGUGGAUUGGUCUGUCAGGUUUAUUCCGAUAACGAGCGAGACUCUGACCUACUAAAUAGUGUCUAGAUUAUUUUUGUCUUGACGACUUCUUAGAGGGACAAGCGGUGUUCAGCCGCAUGAAGUUGAGCAAUAACAGGUCUGUGAUGCCCUUAGAUGUUCAGGG